UGGCUCUCGCAUCGAUGAAGAACGCAGCGAAAUGCGAUAAGUAAUGUGAAUUGCAGAAUUCAGUGAAUCAUCGAAUCUUUGAACGCACCUUGCACCCUCUGGUAUUCCGAAGGGUACGCCCGUUUGAGUGUCAUUGUACUCUCAACCCCACGACUUUUUGUUGUGUGGGUUGGACUUGGAUCUCGUCGCGAUUUGCGACCGAUCCGAAAUGUAUCAGCGUGUGUCUGUCGUGACGAUAAACCGAUUGUUAAGUUUCAUCGGGCUCGCUCUGUCGAGGUUGUCCGGCAAAAGCACAUGCCAAACCCCCUUCAUUUUGACAAUUUGACCUCAAAUCGGGUGGGAUCACCCGCUGA
rnacentral:misc_RNA from 1 species